AGGACGAACGCUGGCGGCGUGCUUAACACAUGCAAGUCGAGCGGAAAGGCCCUUCGGGGUACUCGAGCGGCGAACGGGUGAGUAACACGUGAGUAAUCUGCCCCUAGCUCUGGGAUAGCUCCGGGAAACCGGGAUUAAUACCGGAUAUGACCACUUUAGACAUCUGCUGUGGUGGAAAGAAUUUCGGCUAGGGAUGAGCUCGCGGCCUAUCAGCUUGUUGGUGGGGUAACGGCCUACCAAGGCGACGACGGGUAGCCGGCCUGAGAGGGCGACCGGCCACACUGGGACUGAGACACGGCCCAGACUCCUACGGGAGGCAGCAGUGGGGAAUAUUGCGCAAUGGGCGAAAGCCUGACGCAGCGACGCCGCGUGGGGGAUGAAGGCCUUCGGUUGUAACCCUUUCAGCAGGGACGAAGCGAAAGUGACGGUACCUGCAGAAGAAGCGCCGGCUAACUACGCGCCAGCACGCCGC
rnacentral:rRNA from 1 species